UUCCAAAAUUUUUUUAAAUAAAUUAUCAUCUAUCACUUAGUUGAAUACAUUCUAAGCUAAGGGUGUGUUUUGUUUGACAUAAAACUAUGAAAAAGAAAAUUUCGGUGGAAAAAAAAAAUUUCGGAGAAAAAUAAAUUUUAUGACAUCUAGUGUUUGGUUAUUAGGAAAAUAAAAUAGUUUUCCGUUACGAUUGUUUGGUUGAAAAGAUUGAAAAAAAAAUUAUAAAUAAAAAAUUAAUAUAUAUAUUUUUAUUUAUAUAUUUUAUAUUAUUAAUAUAUAAUUAUUAUCAUAUUACAUAUAUAGUUUAUAUUUAUAAAUAAAAUAUAUUUAAAAUAUAUUAUGUAAUAAUUAAGUAUAUAUGUAAUAUAAUAUAUGACAGUAUAUAUUUAAUACUAUAAAAUAAAUUACUAGAUAUUUAUAAAUAAAAUAUUAUAUAAUAAAUAUAUUUAUAUUAAAAUAAAAUACUUUCUUUAAAAUAUAUAUAAAUAUAUAUAUUAUUAUAUAUAUUAUAUGUAAAAAAAAAAGAAUGGGGAGAGAGAGAGGUCCACUGUCCCCCUCCUCUCCCAAACGCCGAGAUUUUUGCGCAUAGUUUUCGUUUUCCACUAGCUUCGAGCGGAAAACAAAAGCAUCUUUUUUCCUCACAAUUCGUAAAAAAAUAAAAUUUUCAAAAAAAAAUUUUUACGAGCAAACAAAUGGCAAAAUUUUAUUUUUCCACCAAUUUUUUUUUUCAGGAUAAUUUUACGAGAAACAAACACACCCUAACCUAUAUUAAAAGAACAAAGAAUCUUAUUUCUUCCAACAUAUCUAAUUAUAUUAAAUUAAUAUUUCUUUUAAACAAUAGAAACGGCAAUAAUACUAAAGGACUAAGCGUCACAGACAUGGACACAACACGACUCGGACACGGCGACUAAGCAAUUUCCAAAAAAUUGGGACACAUACGAGUAUGGUAAGAACACAGCUAAUAAAAUACAAUAUUAUUAAUAUAAUAAUAUAUAUAUUUAUAAUAUAUUAAGUAUUAAUUUUGCUAAAAUGUUAUUAUAUUUCUUUUAUGAAUAAAAUCCACCAUACGUAAUUUAUUUAUAUUAUCCCAAAAAGAUAUGCAUUCAUCAAAAAGUUAAAAUAAUUAUAGUCUUAUUUAUAUAUAUAUACAUGCAUAAAAGAAACUAAAAUAAAAAAAAUAUAUUUUUUCAAAUGAGAUGCGCUAUGGACCUAUAUCGAAGGUGCAUGUGUCC
rnacentral:lncRNA from 1 species